AUGAGGAGCCUCUACGCCGCCCCCGCCCCCGCGGAGGAGGAGGAGGUCGACGAGGGGUACGCCGUCGCGGCGAUGAAGGCGGGGGAGGAGAGGGGGGUCGGGAAGGAGGGGCUCCGGAAGAGGCUGGUCAGGGAGGGGGAGGGUAACCAGCUCCCCGGCGCCGGCGACGAGGUCGAAGUGCACUACACGGGGACGCUGGUGGACGGCACCAAGUUCGACUCCAGCCGGGACCGCGACGCCCCGUUCCAGUUCACCCUCGGCCGAGGCCAAGUUAUAAAGGGAUGGGAUUUGGGCAUCAAAACGAUGAAGAGGGGCGAGAAUGCUAUUUUCACCAUCCCACCGGAGCUUGCAUAUGGUGAGGAUGGCUCCCCUCCAGUCAUCCCUCCAAAUGCGACGCUGCAGUUUGAUGUUGAGCUUCUCUCAUGGGCAAGUGUCAAGGACAUUUGCAAAGAUGGCAGCAUCUUUAAGAAGAUACUAGCUGAAGGCGAGAAGUGGGAGAAUCCCAAAGACCGUGAUGAAGUUUUUGUUAAAUAUGAGGCGAGGCUUGAGGACGGGACUCUUGUUACAAAAUCUGAUGGUGUUGAGUUCACUGUGAAAGAUGGGCAUUUCUGCCCUGCUAUAGCAAAGGCUGUCAAGACAAUGAAGAAGAAUGAGAAGGCCCUCCUUACUGUCAAACCACAAUAUGGGUUUGGUGAGCAAGGCAGGCCAGCCUCUAGAGACAAAGCUGCAGUUCCCCCUAAUGCUAUGUUGCACAUUGAUCUUCAGUUGGUGUCCUGGAAGACAGUCACGGAGAUAGGCAAUGACAAGACAAUCCUGAAGAAGAUCCUCCAGGAGGGUGAAGGCUAUGAUCGUCCCAAAGAUUGUUCAACUGUCAAAGUGAAACUUAUUGGGAAGUUGGAUGAUGGUACCAUCUUUGUCAAGAAAGGUCAUGAUGGUGAAGAGCCAUUCGAGUUCAAGACUGAUGAGGAUCAGGUGAUUGAAGGGCUUGACCAAGCAGUGCUUAGCAUGAAGAAAGGAGAAGUUGCCUUUGUGACUAUUCCCCCAGAGCAUGCAUUUGGAUCGGAUGAAACGAAGCAAGAUCUUGCUAUUGUUCCUCCUAACACAACUGUUUAUUAUGACGUUGAACUUGUGUCCUUUGAUAAGGAGAAGGAAUCAUGGGAGUUAAAGGCUAAUGCUGAGAAGAUUGAAGCGGCUGCUAAGAAAAAGGAUGAAGGGAACGUCUGGUUUAAGAUGGGCAAGUAUGCUAGGGCUUCUAAGAGAUAUGGAAAGGCUUUGGAUUUCAUAGAGUACGAAAGCUCCUUCAAUGAAGAAGAAAAACAGUUGUCCAAACCACUCAAGGUGAGCUGCAAGCUCAACAAGGCAGCGUGCAAACUGAAACUUAAAGACUACAAGGAAGCGAAGGAUCUGUGUACCGAGGUCCUGGAAAUUGACAGCACAAACGUGAAGGCCUUGUACAGAAGGGCGCAGGCACACAUGCAUCUUGUUGAUUUUGAUUUGGCAGAGGUGGAUAUCAAGAGAGCACUGGAAAUAGAUCCAGAGAACAGGGACGUAAAGAUGGGUUAUCGGAGGUUAAAGGAGAAGGUGAAGGAGUACGAGAGGAGGGAUGCCAAAUUCUACGGCAACAUGAUCAACAAGCUGAGCAAGCUGGAAGACGAUGUGAGUUUCCUAUUUCCGCAAACCGUUUGCCACUUUGUCACUAGGAGACUACUUUGGCCGUCGUUUUUACAGUUCAUUUUUAUCUGCUGCUUCCAGGAGGGCUGUGGAAGUAGCAAGGGGCCAAGCAAGAAGCCGCGCAGCCUGUGGCCUCUGGCGCCUUUCUUCACGACCGAUGGCAGCAAGCUGUGGCUCGUGCUAAGGCUGCUGAUCCCCGUGAUGAUCUUGGUCGCGCUUUGUGUUGCUUACUAUGUGCAGAGCGGAGUUCAUGAAAUUGACUGCGUCAACUGCUGA
rnacentral:rRNA from 1 species